rnacentral:misc_RNA from 1 species
CUAGCAGCACUCACUCUUGACGGAUAUGUAGGUUCACUCCAGAUAACAUGUCCACCGUAACGUAUGACAUUCUCAUACUUGCAUUUUGGGGCAUUGUUCGGCAUAACAAUAUAAGCAGGGAUUCCACGGAGUUUUGCAGCCAAGGCUACAGCAGCAGCAUGAUUACCACUGCUGUGAGUUACAACUCCUUUAGCAGCUUCAUCAUCUUCAAG